rnacentral:rRNA from 1 species
UAGGGAAUCUUCGGCAAUGGACGAAAGUCUGACCGAGCAACGCCGCGUGAGUGAAGAAGGUUUUCGGAUCGUAAAACUCUGUUGUUAGAGAAGAACAAGGACGUUAGUAACUGAACGUCCCCUGACGGUAUCUAACCAGAAAGCCACGGCUAACUACGUGCCAGCAGCCGCGGUAAUACGUAGGUGGCAAGCGUUGUCCGGAUUUAUUGGGCGUAAAGCGAGCGCAGGCGGUUUCUUAAGUCUGAUGUGAAAGCCCCCGGCUCAACCGGGGAGGGGUAUUGGAAACUGGGGGGCUUGAGUGCAGAAGGGGAGGGUGGAAUUCCAUGGGGAGCGGUGAAAUGCGUAGAUAUAUGGAGGAACACCAGUGGCGAAGGCGGCUCUCUGGUCUGUAACUGACGCUGAGGCUCGAAAGCGUGGGGAGCAAACAGG